UACGUAGGCAGCGAGCGUUGUUCGGAAUUACUGGGCGUAAAGAGUGUGUAGGCGGUGUUCCCAGUCUGUUGUGAAAUCUCCCGGCUUAACUGGGAGGGUGCAGCGGAAACUAGAAUGCUAGAGGGUGGGAGAGGUAAGCGGAAUUCCUGGUGUAGCGGUGAAAUGCGUAGAUAUCAGGAGGAACACCGGCGGUGUAGACGGCUUACUGGACCAUGACUGACGCUGAGGCACGAAAGCGUGGGGAGCAAACAGG
rnacentral:rRNA from 1 species